ACACUGAGAAUUACAUUAAUCUUCUUUUGAAGAUCACCUUAUUUCUAGCAUCCAUCAUUCUCUUAACGACAUUGGGAGAGGCAUCAAGAGAGCUCAUUGACGUUACCAUUUCUCCCAACCCAUUAAAUCCAACGUCUCCUGGAUGGGCCAAAACGAUACCAUCAUUACCAGUUCUUCCUCGGCUUCCUCCACCUCCUCCUCAUCUGGCAGGACCAAAAGAUGACCCUCGUGCACAUGGUUACCAUUGUUGUUAAGUGAAUUUUUCGUAAAGUGUUGGACGAGUUAAGUGAAUUUUUCGUAAGUGUUGGAUGAAGUCUUUGUGUGCUUAAUUAUAUGUUAAUUAACGUUUUUGCAAACUAUUUAUGUUACAGUGUAUUUGUUUUUAUUGUUCAAAUAAUGGGGAUUGUAAUUAAUCAUGUUUAUCAUAUGACAUUGUAUUAUCUGUAUA